AACGGGUGAGUAACGCGUGAGGAACCUGCCUCAAANAGGGGGACGAACAGUUGGAAACGACUGCUAAUACCGCAUAAGCCCACGGUGCCGCAUGGCACAGAGGGAAAAGGAGCAAUCCGCUUUGAGAUGGCCUCGCGUCCGAUUAGCUAGUUGGUGAGGUAACGGCCCACCAAGGCAACGAUCGGUAGCCGGACUGAGAGGUUGAACGGCCACAUUGGGACUGAGACACGGCCCAGACUCCUACGGGAGGCAGCAUG
rnacentral:rRNA from 1 species